UCCCAGCCAUAUAUAUAUACAUCACGUCCUAACCCUAGAGACCUACAGCUGCCGCACCACACUCAAAACAGAGGCAGCCCCUUUGGGCUGCUCUCUCUCUCUAUCUCCUCAUUUUCCUCCAUUUUUUCCUCUUUUCUUUAGUUUUAUUUUAGAGAUUUCAAGGAUUUUACUCACACAAAGCUUCAAGGAUCUAUUAAAGGGCUCAACCUCUACAAGAUUCAAGAUUUGGGUAAUUGUGGGAGUUAUAAUUCAAUAGUAGUCAUGUUGGCUUUCUAGCUAAUUGUGGCUAUUAUUGUUUUCUCCUACACUUCUCUUUUCUUUUCUCUUUGAAUUUUGUAUUUUUGAUGUCUAUAAUUAUGGGUCGUGAGUAAUUUUCUUGUUGGGUUUUAGGGUUGUGUCCCUAACUCAAAAUUUUGUGUAAAAGAUGUUUAAUUUAAUAUAAUGAUGUAAUUUUCAUAUGAUGGAUGCUUAUAUCUAUUUUUGUUGGGUUAAAAUGCAUGUCUAGGAGCCUAGUCAACUCUAGGGUGUGUAUUUUGAGCAUGUCUAGGAUGGAGUUAGGGGCUUGACUCCCUCUAAUUCCUAAGCUAGAAACCUUCAAUUUCGUAUCUAACGCCUUUGUUCAACUGGAUUAAGUGGAAUUGGAUCCCUCAUGAAGAAAACCUGUUGCGGAUGCAGUGGCGAAGCUAGCUAAGUUGAAGUUGUGCUCUCAAGAUUGGGCCAACAUGCUUCCAACCUCUCUACCCUCUAUCUUGAGAAACGAUGGACUGCCAGUAGUUUGUUGCUCUUUUUUCUCGUGUAGUUUCUCUCACUUUUAGGGCUUAAUGAAGUUAUUUUAAGGCCAAAAAAAAAAGGUGUUCUGAUUGAU
rnacentral:lncRNA from 1 species